GAGCUCUCUGGGUUUGCAACAGUACUGCAGACAGGCUCCUGUGGAAGUUUCUUGGUGGUUGUGCAGCAGGCAUAUCCAGAAAACAUCUACUGAACCAAAAUGAUGUGGAUUUCUUGUUUGCUGCUUGGAAGCAUGUUCUGUAAUCUCUUACAAAAAGAUUAUGGCUCCUAUGCUGCUGCUGUCCCAGUACCCUACCAGUCUUCCUCGGGAUAUUGGCGAGAAGGCUCUUCUGCUCCACAUCAGUUUCAUGCUUAUCCUAGCAGUCAUGGAAGCCAAAACAUGUAUGACGCAAACCAGUUUCAAA